rnacentral:rRNA from 1 species
CCUANGGGAGGCAGCAGUGAGGAAUAUUGGUCAAUGGGCGAGAGCCUGAACCAGCCAUCCCGCGUGCAGGAAGAAGGCCCUAUGGGUUGUAAACUGCUUUUACGCAAGAAGAAUGGUACCCUCGUGAGGGUAUUUGACGGUACUGCGUGAAUAAGCACCGGCUAACUCCGUGCCAGCAGCCGCGGUAAUACGGAGGGUGCAAGCGUUAUCCGGAUUUAUUGGGUUUAAAGGGUGCGUAGGCGGUAUUUUAAGUCAGUGGUGAAAUCUUGCAGCUUAACUGUAGAACUGCCAUUGAAACUGAAGUACUUGAGUUAUCUUGAAGUAGGCGGAAUGUGUAGUGUAGCGGUGAAAUGCUUAGAUAUUACACAGAACACCGAUUGCGAAGGCAGCUUACUAAGGGUACACUGACGCUGAGGCACGAAAGCGUGGGGAUCGAACAGGAUUAGAUACCCUGNUANUC